rnacentral:rRNA from 1 species
UACGUAGGCAGCAAGCGUUUGUUCGGAGUUACUGGGCGUAAAGGGUGCGUAGGCGGCCCUGUAAGUAUGGUGUGAAAUCUCCCGGCUUAACUGGGAGGGUGCGCUAUAGACUGCGGGGCUCGAGUGUGGGAGAGGAAAGUGGAAUUCCUGGUGGUAGCGGUGAAAUGCGUAGAUAUCAGGAGGAACACCGGUGGUGUAAACGGUCUUUGC